rnacentral:lncRNA from 1 species
GGGCAUUGGAAUGGUAUGAUUUAUAACGAGGGGGGAGGUGAGAGGAAGUGGUGAUUAGGAACCACGGUAUGUUUAUUGGCAAGGAUGGUUGGGUUACUGUAUAACACUGUGUGUUGUUAUAUAUGUAUAUAUGUUAAUUUAUGCUUAUUUAUGUUUAACAAUUUUGGUUACAGAAAGAAGAUUUUGAAUAAAUAAAGUUAUGGAUGUGUUAUGCAGUAUUUAUUUAUGGUAUAAUAAAUGCUGUGGCCUGUUUCAUCCAUACUAAGUUGUCUGUCGUUAUUGGGAGGGUUUAACCGGGUUAAUUUAUGUAUAAGGUAGCAUCAGAAAAUUCCCCACUACGUACAUACAA